AACGCUAGCUACAGGCUUAACACAUGCAAGUCGAGGGGAAACGACAUCGAAAGCUUGCUUUUGAUGGGCGUCGACCGGCGCACGGGUGAGUAACGCGUAUCCAACCUGCCCACCACUUGGGGAUAACCUUGCGAAAGUAAGACUAAUACCCGAUGAUAUCUCUAGACGACAUCUGAAAGGGAUUAAAGAUUUAUCGGUGAUGGAUGGGGAUGCGUCUGAUUAGCUUGUUGGCGGGGUAACGGCCCACCAAGGCAACGAUCAGUAGGGGUUCUGAGAGGAAGGUCCCCCACAUUGGAACUGAGACACGGUCCAAACUCCUACGGGAGGCAGCAGUGAGGAAUAUUAGUCAAUGGGCGAGAGCCUGAACCAGCCAAGUAGCGUGCAGGACGACGGCCCUAUGGGUUGUAAACUGCUUUUAUAAGGGAAUAAAGUGAGUCUCGUGAGACUUUUUGCAUGUACCUUAUGAAUAAGGACCGGCUAAUUCCGUGCCAGCAGCCGCGGUAAUACGGAAGGUCCGGGCGUUAUCCGGAUUUAUUGGGUUUAAAGGGAGCGUAGGCCGGAGAUUAAGCGUGUUGUGAAAUGUAGACGCUCAACGUCUACACUGCAGCGCGAACUGGUUUCCUUGAGUACGCACAAAGUGGGCGGAAUUCGUGGUGUAGCGGUGAAAUGCUUAGAUAUCACGAAGAACUCCGAUUG
rnacentral:rRNA from 1 species